rnacentral:lncRNA from 1 species
UCAUGUGGUCCCAGCAUAACUGAUAUGGAGUCUAUUUUUGGACCCAAAAGAUGGGAAACAAAUGGGAUUUGCUGAGCACACCAUUAUCUAUAUCACAGGUGGAGGUGUACAGUAGAUAGAUGCAAUAUGAACAUUAACACAGAAGGAGGUAUUAAAGACAUAAAGCUUGAAGGACACUGAACAUUAUGCCAUAUUAAUUUAACCAGGUACAUUGCCUCACCUCUCAGCCAGAUGUCCUUACAUUUCCAGAUAACAUCAUCAUUCUCCAGUUUACUCAGGCUUUGACCUUCAGUAUCAUUUUGGAUCCACUCUCUUUCUCUAUUUAUAAUUAAGUUCAACCUAAUCCUGCACAUUUUAGUUCUGUGGUUCUUUGGCAUCAUACCUGUUCCUUUUCAUUUAAACUAACAGCAGUCUGGCUUAAAGGACUUGUGAAGCUGCACAAAUAAAUGAGAAAUAUUGGAGAGAUGUUCUAUGGGAAAAAAAAAAGAUAGCAAAAGGCAGAUUUUCAGGAAUGUCCACAAACAUAGAAGCAAAAAAGUAAAGUCAUAAAGGUAGAUCAAAAAGGCUCAGGAAAAGGUAUAAGAAUUAACACAGCAUCAUCAAGUGAAUGAAGAAAUGAAGUUUGCAAAGGGGGCAUCAUCAAAGGUGACAAAUUCGAGCAGAUGUAAGAAGACAUGUAGACAAGAAGUUUAGACAUUUAUGCUUAUGUCUCUACUAAUAUUGUAUUGGACUGAGGGGCCAGGAGGCAAUGAAUGAAUUGAAAACAUAUUUAGAACAAGGAAUUGAAAUCUCUGUGGCCACCUUUAAACAAUAUGUUUGGCCUCUUCCGCACCAGAGCCUGACAAUUUGCUAAACAAACGAUUAUUAUCAUUGGUGUAAUAGCCAGUUCUUUUCAUUUUCCCCACCUGACCCUCUGCUGGAAUUGCUAAUAAGCUGCAGAAAUGGACAGUGACAGGCAGGGUAUAUGGCUAGAUCAGGAGGCCUUGUUAAUCCACAGGCAGCCUGUCUAGAAAUGAGCAUGUUGCAGGAAUAGGGGUCCUGUAUUCUGAAGUAGAUUCCCCAACUCUUCUAAUCCCCCAAUACCAGGAUAUUAUGUACAGACUGACCACCCUUGAGGACUAUUCACUGCUUUCCAUUUGUCUUUCCCUUUGCUUUGGCUGAAGUAAUUGUUUGCUUUCCAAUGUAGCUUGGUUUUGUAGCUAUCUCAGUGAACUUUACACCUA